rnacentral:rRNA from 1 species
CUACGGGAGGCAGCAGUGGGGAAUUUUGGACAAUGGGGGCAACCCUGAUCCAGCCAUGCCGCGUGAGUGAAGAAGGCCUUCGGGUUGUAAAGCUCUUUCGGCCGGGAAGAAAUCGCAUAGGCUAAUACCCUGUGUGGAUGACGGUACCGGAAUAAGAAGCACCGGCUAACUACGUGCCAGCAGCCGCGGUAAUACGUAGGGUGCGAGCGUUAAUCGGAAUUACUGGGCGUAAAGCGUGCGCAGGCGGUUGUGUAAGACAGGCGUGAAAUCCCCGGGCUCAACCUGGGAACUGCGCUUGUGACUGCACAGCUAGAGUACGGCAGAGGGGGGUGGAAUUCCACGUGUAGCAGUGAAAUGCGUAGAGAUGUGGAGGAACACCGAUGGCGAAGGCAGCCCCCUGGGCCGAUACUGACGCUCAUGCACGAAAGCGUGGGUAGCAAACAGGAUUAGAUACCCCAGUAGUCC